CAAUUUUCCGCAUGUUCAUAAGUUCAUUGUACGUUUUGUAUUAUUGACACGGUUUCCAAUUUACUAUAGUUUCGAUCUCGAUAAUACAAAAAUGUUAACGUUUAUCUGGGGCCGAGUCUGUGGCCAGUUGUAUCAAGCCCGUUUAGCUUAAACGGUGGUUAAGCUCAAAACAGAAAGGGCUAUUCCAUUUAAUAUCCGUACCCCCCCUGUCGAGGAUACCUGGAAUUCUUCAGGGGUAGGGUGUUUUGAGCUUGGAAUUCUUCAGGGGUAGGGUGUUUUGAGUUUGGAAUUCUUCAGGGGUAGAUUGUUUUGAGCUUGGAAUUCUUCAGUGGUAAAGGAUUUUGAGUUUGGAAUUCUUCAGGGGUACAGUGUUUUUAGCUUGGAAUUCUUCAGGGGUAAAGUGUUUUGAGCUUGGAAUUCUUCAGGGGUAAAGUGUUUUGAGCUUGGAAUUCUUCAGGGGUAGGGUGUUUUGAGCUUGGAAUUCUUCAGGGGUAGGGUGUUUUGAGCUUGGAAUUCUUCAGGGGUACAGUGUUUCGAGUUUGGAAUUCUUCAGGGGUACAGUGUUUCGAGUUUGGAAUUCUUCAGGGGUACAGUGUUUUGAGUUUGGAAUUCUUCAGGGGUACAGUGUUUUGAGCUUGGAAUUCUUCAGGGGUACAGUGUUUUGAGUUUGGAAUUCUUCAGGGGUACAGUGUUUUGAGUUUGGAAUUCUUCAGGGGUACAGUGUUUUGAGCUUGGAAUUCUUCAGGGGUACAGUGUUUUGAGUUUGGAAUUCUUCAGGGGUACAGUGUUUUGAGUUUGGAAUUCUUCAGGGGUAAAGUGUUUUGAGCUUGGAAUUCUUCAGGGGUACAGUGUUUUGAGCUUGGAAUUCUUCAGGGGUACAGUGUUUUGAGUUUGGAAUUCUUCAGGGGUAGAGUGUUUUGAGCUUGGAAUUCUUCAGGGGUACAGUGUUUUGAGCUUGGAAUUCUUCAGGGGUAAAUGAUUUUGAGUUUGGAAUUCUUCAGGGGUACAGUGUUUUGAAUUUGGAAAUCUUCAGGGGUAAAGGAGUUUGAGUUUGGAAUUCUUCAGGGGUACAGUGUUUUGAGCUUGGAAUUCUUAAGGGGUAAAGGAUUUUGAGUUUGGAAUUCUUCAGGGGUACAGUGUUUUGAGCUUGGAAUUCUUAAGGGGUAAAGGAUUUUGAGUUUGGAAUUCUUCAGGGGUACAGUGUUUUGAGCUUGGAAUUCUUCAGGGGUAAAGGAUUUUGAGUUUGGAAUUCUUCAGGGGUAAAGGAUUUUGAGCUUGGAAUUUUUCAGGGGUACAGUGUUUUGAGUUUGGAAUUCUUCAGGGGUACAGUGUUUUGAGUUUGGAAUUCUUAAGGGGUAAAGGAUUUUGAGUUUGGAAUUCUUCAGGGGUACAGUGUUUUGAGCUUGGAAUUCUUCAGGGGUAAAGGAUUUUGAGUUUGGAAUUCUUCAGGGGUACAGUGUUUUUAGCUUGGAAUUCUUCAGGGGUACAGUGUUUUGAGCUUGGAAUUCUUCAGGGGUAAAGGAUUUUGAGUUUGGAAUUCUUCAGGGGUACAGUGUUUUGAGUUUGGAAUUCUUCAGGGGUACAGUGUUUUGAGUUUGGAAUUCUUCAGGGGUAGGGUGGUUUGAGCUUGGAAUUCUUCAGGGGUAAAGUGUUUUGAGCUUGGAAUUCUUCAGGUUAGAUUGUUUUGAGCUUGGAAUUCUUCAGGGGUACAGUGUUUUGAGCUUGGAAUUCUUCAGGGGUACAGUGUUUUGAGCUUGGAAUUCUUCAGGGGUACAGUGUUUUGAGCUUGGAAUUCUUCAGGGGUACAGUGUUUUGAGUUUGGAAUUCUUCAGGGGUACAGUGUUUUGAGUUUGGAAUUCUUAAGGGGUAAAUGAUUUUGAGUUUGGAAUUCUUCAGGGGUAGGGUGUUUUGAGCUUGGAAUUCUUCAGGGGUAGGGUGUUUUGAGUUUGGAAUUCUUCAGGGGUAGAGUGUUUUGAGUUUGGAAUUCUUCAGGGGUACAGUGUUUUGAGCUUGGAAUUCUUCAGGGGUAGGGUGUUUUGAGUUUGGAAUUCUUCAGGGGUAGAUUGUUUUGAGCUUGGAAUUCUUCAGGGGUAAAGGAUUUUGAGUUUGGAAUUCUUCAGGGGUACAGUGUUUUUAGCUUGGAAUUCUUCAGGGGUAAAGUGUUUUGAGCUUGGAAUUCUUCAGGGGUAAAGGAUUUUGAGCUUGGAAUUCUUCAGGGGUAAAGUGUUUUGAGUUUGGAAUUCUUCAGGGGUAGGGUGUUUUGAGCAUGGAAUUCUUCAGGAGUAAAGUGUUUUGAGCUUGGAAUUCUUCAGGGGUACAGUGUUUUGAGCUUGGAAUUCUUCGGGGGUAGGGUGUUUUGAGUUUGGAAUUCUUCAGGGGUAGAUUGUUUUGAGCUUGGAAUUCUUCAGGGGUAAAGGAUUUUGAGUUUGGAAUUCUUCAGGGGUACAGUGUUUUGAGCUUGGAAUUCUUCACGGGUACAGUGUUUUGAGUUUGGAAUUCUUAAGGGGUAAAUGAUUUUGAGUUUGGAAUUCUUCAGGGGUAGGGUGUUUUGAGCUUGGAAUUCUUCAGGGGUACAGUGUCUUGAGCUUGGAAUUCUUCAGGGGUACAGUGUUUUGAGCUUGGAAUUCUUCAGGGGUAGGGUGUUUUGAGCUUGGAAUUCUUCAGGGGUAGGGUGUUUUGAGCUUGGAAUUCUUCAGGGGUAAAGGAUUUUGAGUUUGAAAUUUCUGCAGGGGUACCCUAUGAUUGAUCUGAAUUUUUUUAACUAACUAACUGCACUCUUAAGGCCGUUUUCCAUUAACGUUCGCUAAAAAUGUUCUGCGUGAUUUAAGGUGGCUUAGUUGAAAACAAUGUAGUUGUGAAAGGACAAAGAGAAAUUCCGCUCCACGUGGAAAAUUCCGCCUAGUGGAAAACAAGCUUUAAAGCUCGAGUAAUACGAGCAACAAAAUUGCUGCAACUUGCAACAAAAUCUGAUUUCUACGCAUGUUAAUUGAAAAUACUUAACAUUUUGCUGCAAGGUGCAGCAAUUAUUACUCCACAUUUACACCCGUUUUUCUUUUUAAAUUACAUGGCACAUGGGGUUAGGCCAGUUAAAAUGAGGAAGCGGAACGAAAGGGGUUAAAGGCGGAACGGAACGAAUAUGAGGUUAAAACUUAAAACCAAUAUCCGUUCCGUUCUGCAUUUUAACCAUAUAUCCGUCCCACAUUUUAACCCCAUCCGUUCCGUAUUUUAAUCCCAUCCGUUCCGCAUCCGUUCCGCUUCCGCACUUUAACCUAACCCAUGGCACAUGUUUAUGUUACGCAAACUACUAUAAAUAGCAAUGUAAACAAAAGACAUUUUAAACCGUAUCUAACACCCCCCCCCCAAAAAAAAAAAUAUAUAUUGAGCCAAAAUAAGCUAGAUAUUAUCAGAGAAAAAGAAACAACACACCAUCAUUUAAACUUGGAUAAAACAAAAUUCAUGAUUUUUAAACCUAAAC